UACGAAGGGGGCUAGCGUUGUUCGGAAUUACUGGGCGUAAAGCGCACGUAGGCGGAUAUUUAAGUCAGGGGUGAAAUCCCAGAGCUCAACUCUGGAACUGCCUUUGAUACUGGGUAUCUCGAGUAUGGAAGAGGUGAGUGGAAUUCCGAGUGUAGAGGUGAAAUUCGUAGAUAUCUGGAGAAACACCGGUGGCGAAGGCGGCAUCCUGGACCGGCAUUGACGCUGAGGCGCGAAAGCCAGGGGAGCAAACGGG
rnacentral:rRNA from 1 species